rnacentral:rRNA from 1 species
UACACUCCUGCGGGAGGCAGCAGUGAGGAAUAUUGGACAAUGGGUGGAAGCCUGAUCCAGCCAUCCCGCGUGCAGGAAGACGGCCCUAUGGGUUGUAAACUGCUUUUAUCUGGGGAUAAACCUACUUACGUGUAAGUAGCUGAAGGUACCAGAAGAAUAAGCACCGGCUAACUCCGUGCCAGCAGCCGCGGUAAUACGGAGGGUGCAAGCGUUAUCCGGAUUUAUUGGGUUUAAAGGGUCCGUAGGCGGACUGAUAAGUCAGUGGUGAAAUCCGACAGCUUAACUGUCGAACUGCCAUUGAUACUGUUAGUCUUGAGUAAGGUUGAAGUGGCUGGAAUAAGUAGUGUAGCGGUGAAAUGCAUAGAUAUUACUUAGAACACCAAUUGCGAAGGCAGGUCACUAAGUCUUAACUGACGCUGAUGGACGAAAGCGUGGGGAGCGAACAGGAUUAGAAACCCGGGUAGUCCCAUGA